rnacentral:lncRNA from 1 species
UGGUGAUCAGACAAUUGACAGCAUUAAGCAAGAAACAACACAAAUAAAUUCUGAAAACGUUAAAGGAAAUAACUGUAAUGAAAUCAAAUCGUGUCUCAAAUAGGUUAUAUCAACCCUAGAUCUAAGAAUUUAUUUCAUACUUGAAUCGAUUGACAUGCCAAAAUACAAAAUAAAGAACAUGGGAAAGAAGAAUAAAGGGAUAAGAAAAACUAGUUUAAGCCGCGUGAGUUCUUUCCUUGAUGGUCGUCAAUCUUCUCGCAAUUGAAUUUUUCCUCUUUGCCUCUUGAUAAUUUUUCUCUUUGCAAUCUCUUCAACUGUCAAGAAUAAUUCUCAGAAAACCAAUCUCUUUUGCUAGGUCUUUUCGUACAUAUUUAUAGUCUUUUGGGUUUUCAAGGCGGAUUAUAGUUGGGCCAGGUCGAAAAGUUCCCAAAAGUUUUGAAAUUCUUCACUUCGAGAGGCGGAGUCGCGUCGCAAUUGGGUCCUCUGCUUCUACUUCAUUUUCUUAUGCUGGGCACCGCAGCGCCCAUGAGCUGGCCUUCAUUCUUUUUCUUGGGCGCCCAGGUGACCAUGGAACUGCCCAUUCGCUUAAUUUGUUCAUUUUCCAAGCCUCGUUUCCAUGUCACUCUCCUUCAAUUCUCUCCAAUUCGUAUCCAAUUUUAUGAUCACCACUAUAGCUCCAUCACAAGCUACAAAAUGUGGCAUUUUCUCGAAAGUUAUCCAAGCUACAAAACAACACGAAUGCACACAUCAAAACGUUCAAAAGUGCUCAAGAACAAGCUAAAAACCGUGAUUUAGAAGUGUUAAUUUAAUAAAUGAAUUACACUCAUCAACCAACCACAUAGUCCACCUUAGAAUCUAAUGCUAGAUCUAGUCAUCAACAGUUAACAGCUAUUGGAGGUCGAUUCCUUUUCACAAGAACUAAAAUCGAAAAUCACAUUAUAAACAGCUGCAGUCUUAACCAAUAAGACUCACAUGGAUUCACUCAUAGCUCCAUUUCAAUCCACAAAACUUCAUGGGAAAAAAUAUUAAUCUUUUCAAACUUAAUGAAUCACUGUGACAAACAUUCUUGUAUGAAAAAUCAAUUAAUUUUUGAAUACAUGAAAUCAAAAUUUUAUUUUUUAAGACGCAUAAUUACAAAAAAUUGAUCUCUUUCCUGCAGAUCAGAUUUCCUAAACCUAUUGCAAAGGCAAAAGUUCACUAUUCGAAGACCUAAUUAAAGAAAUAUGAUCAAACCAAAACUUAAUACACUAACAAUCGGACCACAGUAAUAAUUGAAUUUUCAAACAGCCAUAGAGAGUUAAUUAAUUAUUUCGAGAUGAAAUACAUACCUUUUGAUCCAUGACAUCUGAAAAUAGAGUUAUUUGGAUUUUUAGAGAAAAAUAAGCGAAAAUGAGAGCGUCGAUUAAAUUUUCAGGGUUCUGGUCGUGGGAAGAAAUGAAGAAGUAGAGGAAAUAAAAUUGCCCCUGCGGAAAGUCAAAUCCACAUUAGAGAGAAAGGAAAAAAGAAGUUUCAUUUGCAUUUUCAGAGAGGAAGAAGCGAACACGGCAGCAUCGAUUGAAUUUUCAGAGAUAGGGUUCUCGUCGUGGAAAGAAAUGAAGACUAAAGAAGAAGUGUUCUCAGCAGGAAAUAUAGUCUGACAAAAGAAUCCUAAAGCAGAACAAAUGGUGAAAAUACUCUGUGAUUUUGCUAUCUAUUGUUGGAUUUAAAAUGGGCAGAAGGAAGAACGAUAGAGAAAAUGGAAAAGGAGAGAUCUGAAAUCGGAAGAAGAAACAAUAGAGGGCAAAUUUGAUAUCUACGGCAAUGGUGCCAUGCUUACCUACAGGAUGACGCCUUAUAAACAGUACAAAUUGUCAACCGUUGCUUACCGUGGAAACCAAUUCUAC